rnacentral:rRNA from 1 species
GACGAACGCUGGCGGCGUGCUUAACACAUGCAAGUCGAGCGGUAGGGCCCUUUCGGGGGUACACGAGCGGCGAACGGGUGAGUAACACGUGGGUGACCUGCCCUCCAGCUCUGGGAUAAGCCUGGGAAACCGGGUCUAAUACUGGAUAUGACUCCAUGACGCAUGUUGUGGGGUGGAAAGCCUUGUGCGGCUGAGGAUGGGCCCGCGGCCUAUCAGCUUGUUGGUGGGGUGAUGGCCUACCAAGGCGACGACGGGUAGCCGGCCUGAGAGGGCGACCGGCCACACUGGGACUGAGACACGGCCCAGACUCCUACGGGAGGCAGCAGUGGGGAAUCUUGCGCAAUGGGCGAAAGCCUGACGCAGCGACG